rnacentral:rRNA from 1 species
ACGCACGCUGGCGGCGUGCUUAACACAUGCAAGUCGAACGGAAAGGCCCUGCUUGCAGGGUACUCGAGUGGCGAACGGGUGAGUAACACGUGGGUGAUCUGCCCUGCACUUCGGGAUAAGCCUGGGAAACUGGGUCUAAUACCGGAUAGGAGCCAUUUUUAGUGUGAUGGUUGGAAAGUUUUUUCGGUGUAGGAUGAGCUCGCGGCCUAUCAGCUUGUUGGUGGGGUAAUGGCCUACCAAGGCGGCGACGGGUAGCCGGCCUGAGAGGGUGGACGGCCACAGUGGGACUGAGAUACGGCCCAGACUCCUACGGGAGGCAGCAGUGGGGAAUAUUGCACAAUGGGCGCAAGCCGGAUGCAGCGACGCCGCGUGGGGGAUGACGGCCUUCGGGUUGGAAACUCCUUUCGCUAGGGACGAAGCUUUUUGUGACGGUACCUAGAGAAGAAGCACCGGCUAACUACGUG